rnacentral:rRNA from 1 species
AUUGAACGCUGGCGGCAUGCCUUACACAUGCAAGUCGAACGGCAGCACGGGUGCUUGCACCUGGUGGCGAGUGGCGCACGGGUGAGUAAUACAUCGGAACAUGUCCUGUAUUGGGGGAUAGCCCGGCGAAAGCCGGAUUAAUACCGCAUACUAUCUACGUAUGAAAGCGGGGGACCUUCUGGCCUCGCGCUUUAGGGUUGGCCGAUGGCUGAUUAGCUAGUUGGUGGGGUAAAGGCCUACCAAGGCGACGAUCAGUAGCUGGUCUGAGAGGACGACCAGCCACACUGGGACUGAGACACGGCCCAGACUCCUACGGGAGGCAGCAGUGGGGAAUUUUGGACAAUGGGCGAAAGCCUGAUCCAGCAAUGCCGCGUGUGUGAAGAAGGCCUUCGGGUUGUAAAGCACUUUUGUCCGGAAAGAAAUCCUUGGCCCUAAUACGGUCGGGGGAUGACGGUACCGGAAGAAUAAGCACCGGCUAACUACGUG